rnacentral:antisense_RNA from 1 species
CUUCAGCGACCCCAGCCACAGCGGCCGCCCCUCGGGCCGGUCCUGACCGUACGUGGCCAGCAGCGCGUCGGCCUC